UAAUGCCGGAUGCUCCAGUUGAUCGCAUGGUCUUCUGGGAAAGCUUUCGCGGUAUGGGAUGGGGUCGCGUCCUAUCAGCUUGACGGCGGGGUAACGGCCCACCGUGGCUUCGACGGGUAGCCGGCCUGAGAGGGCGACCGGCCACAUUGGGACUGAGAUACGGCCCAGACUCCUACGGGAGGCAGCAGUGGGGAAUAUUGCACAAUGGGCGCAAGCCUGAUGCAGCGACGCCGCGUGAGGGAUGGAGGCCUUCGGGUUGUAAACCUCUUUUAUCGGGGAGCAAGCGAGAGUGAGUUUACCCGUUGAAUAAGCACCGGCUAACUACGUGCCAGCAGCCGCGGUAAUACGUAGGGUGCAAGCGUUAUCCGGAAUUAUUGGGCGUAAAGGGCUCGUAGGCGGUUCGUCGCGUCCGGUGUGAAAGUCCAUCGCUUAACGGUGGAUCCGCGCCGGGUACGGGCGGGCUUGAGUGCGGUAGGGGAGACUGGAAUUCCCGGUGUAACGGUGGAAUGUGUAGAUAUCGGAAAAGAAACA
rnacentral:rRNA from 1 species